AUUUAUUUUUUGUGGGGGAGGGCCCAUCACAGUAGCUUGCUGCUGGGGUCCUCGGGUGUCGCCCAGGCGUUGCACUGCUGCCUGGGCAGGCGCACCCUAA
rnacentral:snRNA from 1 species